AUCCUCGAUCUGCUGCGGGCAGAUGAAGUGGAUAUGGCUGUCGAAGCCGCCGGCGGUGAGAAUUUUGCCUUCGCCGGCGAUCACGUCGGUGCCGGGGCCAAUGACAAUCGUCACCUUCGGCUGGAUGUCCGGAUUGCCGGCCUUGCCGAUCGAAUGAAUCUUGCCGUCCUUGAUGCCGACAUCGGCCUUGACGAUGCCCCAGGUGUCGACGAUCAGCGCGUUGGUGAUCACCGUGUCGACGGCGCCUUGCCGGUUGGUGAUCUGGCUCUGGCCCAUGCCGUCGCGGAU
rnacentral:sRNA from 1 species